rnacentral:rRNA from 1 species
GGACCCGCACAAGCGGUGGAGCAUGUGGUUUAAUUCGAAGAUACACGAAGAACCUUACCUGGCCUUGAUAUCCUAAGAAUCCUGUAGAGAUACGGGAGUGCUAGUUUACUAGAACUUAGAGACAGGUGCUGCACGGCUGUCGUCAGCUCGUGUCGUGAGAUGUUGGGUUAAGUCCCGCAACGAGCGCAACCCUCGUGAUUAGUUGCUAACAGUUCGGCUGAGCACUCUAAUCAGACUGCCUUCGUAAGGAGGAGGAAGGUGAGGACGACGUCAAGUCAUCAUGGCCCUUAUGGCCAGGGCUACACACGUGCUACAAUGGCUAGGACAAAGAGACGCGAUACUGCGAAGUGGAGCAAAUCUUAAAACCUAGUCUCAGUUCGGAUUGGAGUCUGCAACUCGACUCCAUGAAGCUGGAAUCGCUAGUAAUCGUAGAUCAGAUAUGCUACGGUGAAUACGUUCCCGGGUCUUGUACUCACCGCCCGUCACACCAUGGGAGUUGAAUUCACCCGAAGCCGGAAUACUAAACUAGUUACCGACCACGGUGGGUUCAGCGACUGGGGUGAAGUCGUAACAAGGUAACCGUAGGAGAACCUGCGGUU